rnacentral:sRNA from 1 species
GUGAAAUACAUCACAUAACAAACAUACACCCCUUUGUUUGAACGUGAACAUUUCUCCCAUCCCCUUUUGUGUAAGAGGCGUCCUAUUGUCGAGAGUAGGGCGCCUCU